GAGUUGUCCGAUUCAUCUAAAAAUUUCAGGGCAGAUAGAUCUUGACCAGAUGAAAAAUAUUACCCCUUGUCAGAUUUGCUCUUAAUGCUUUAGUUUUUGAGUUAUAAGCCAAAAACUGCAUUUUACCCCUAUGUUCUAUGUUUAGCCGUAGCGGCCAUCUUGGUUGGUUUGCCAGGUCACAAAACACAAUUUUUAAACUAGAUAGCCUAAUAAUGAUUCUGGCUACGUUUGGUAAAAUUUGGCCCAGUAGUUUCAGAGGAGAAGAUUUUUG
rnacentral:lncRNA from 1 species